rnacentral:rRNA from 1 species
UACAGAGGUCUCAAGCGUUGUUCGGAUUCAUUGGGCGUAAAGGGUGCGUAGGUGGCGAGGUUAGUCAGGUGUGAAAUCUCGGGGCUCAACCCCGAAACUGCACUUGAUACUGCCUUGCUAGAGUACUGGAGAGGAGAUUGGAAUUUACGGUGUAGCAGUGAAAUGCGUAGAUAUCGUAAGGAAGACCAGUGGCGAAGGCGAAUCUCUGGACAGUUACUGACACUGAGGCACGAAGGCCAGGGGAGCAAAACGGG